rnacentral:lncRNA from 1 species
GUUUUCUAGUUUUUAAUACCUAGAUAGUGUCUGCUACUGAAAAACAUUACAGAUGAAAUAGUACUUUUGCACUUAUUCUUCGGAGUAAGCUAAGAUUAGGAAUUGGAAUCAAAUGAAAAUAACACAGAAGCAUCAUUUCUGGUGGGUGAUGGGUGGUUUUUUGUUUUGUUUGGGGGAGGGGUGUUAGUUUUUGUUUUUGAUCCUCUGCCUAAAGACCAUUUACCAUGAUGUUUGGAUUUUGGUUGGCUGAAAUGUGAGAGUAUUGAAUUCUUUUUUCUUGCCUACCUUGCACAUUUUAUUUAGGGUUAUCACUUCUCUGCUAUAACCUUAUGUUUCUGAAAUAUAUUGCUCAAGCUAUAUUCUAUGACUGAUUACCCUUCUCUUUGCAACCCUUUCUCACCUCAUUUGGGUUUUCAGAAAGUCUCAAGAGAGUAAAAUUUUCCCAGUUAGCAAGGAGAGUGGAUGUCUUAAUUCUUCCUUCUCUCUAUUCUCCAAACUGUUAAAAUAACUUACUCCUUUCAUACCAUAUACCUCAUCACUCACUUCUACACCCUGUAAAUAUUUUAUAAUUUCCUGUCUAACAGAAGUAGUGAAUUUAUAAAUUUUAAUGUGUCUAUUUUAGAUUUUUAAGAAGCAGAAUAUCAUGGU